GGUUGUGUAGUGUAGGGGUUAUCACAUCGGAUUCUGAUUUGAGAGAAUCUUGUAAGUUUGGUUCAAAGUUUGAAAUUUGAAAUGAAAUGGGUUAGCUAACAUUGGCACAGCCGGGGACCCCGGUUCGAUUCCGGGCACGACCU